CUACGGAGGGUGCAAGCGUUACUCGGAAUCACUGGGCGUAAAACGCGCGCAGGCGGGCUGAUAAGUUGGAUGUGAAAGCCUACGGCUCAACCGUAGAACUGCAUCCAAAACUGUCAGUCUAGAGUCUGGGAGGGGAAGAUGGAAUUAGUUGUGUAGGGGUAAAAUCCGUAGAGAUAACUAGGAAUACCAAAAGCGAAGGCGAUCUUCUGGAACAGUACUGACGCUGAGGCGCGAAAGCGUGGGGAGCAAACAGGAUUAGAAACCCUAGUAGUCC
rnacentral:rRNA from 1 species